rnacentral:rRNA from 1 species
GUCCAACGUUAAUCGGGGCAGGGUGAGUCGACCCCUAAGGCGAGGCCGAAAGGCGUAGUCGAUGGGAAAUAGGUUAAUAUUCCUGUACUUGGUGUUACUGCGAAGGGGGGACGGAGAAGGCUAUGUUGGCCGGGCGACGGUUGUCCCGGUUUAAGCGUGUAGGCUGGUUUUCCAGGCAAAUCCGGAAAAUCAAGGCUGAGGCGUGAUGACGAGGCACUACGGUGCUGAAGCAACAAAUGCCCUGCUUCCAGGAAAAGCCUCUAAGCAUCAGGUAACAUCAAAUCGUACCCCAAACCGACACAGGUGGUCAGGUAGAGAAUACCAAGGCGCUUGAGAGAACUCGGGUGAAGGAACUAGGCAAAAUGGUGCCGUAACUUCGGGAGAAGGCACGCUGAUAUGUAGGUGAAGUCCCUCGCGGAUGGAGCUGAAAUCAGUCGAAGAUACCAGCUGGCUGCAACUGUUUAUUAAAAACACAGCAC